GACGAACGCUGGCGGCGUGCUUAACACAUGCAAGUCGAACGAAGUGGCGAACGGGUGAGUAAUACGUGAGUAACCUGCCCUCCUUUUUGGGAUAAGCCUUGGAAACGGGGUCUAAUACCGGAUAAAGGGGGAUGGGCUCGUGGCCUAUCAGUUUGUUGGUGGGGGGAUGGCCUACCAAGGCGGUGACGGGUAGCCGGCCUGAGAGGGUGGCCGGCCACAUUGGGAUUGAGAUCCGGCCCAGACUCCUACGGGGGGCAGCAGUUGGGGAUAUUGCACAAUGGGCGAAAGCCUGAUGCAGCGACGCCGCGUGGGGGAUGAAGGCUUUCGGGUUGUAAACCUCUUUCGCUUUCGAACGGGUAGGUGGAGAAGAAGCGCCGGCUAACUACGUGCCAGCAGCCGCGGUAAUAC
rnacentral:rRNA from 1 species